rnacentral:rRNA from 1 species
GAUGAACGCUGGCGGCGUGCCUAAUACAUGCAAGUCGAGCGAACAGAUGAGGAGCUUGCUCCUCUGACGUUAGCGGCGGACGGGUGAGUAACACGUGGAUAACCUACCUAUAAGACUGGGAUAACUUCGGGAAACCGGAGCUAAUACCGGAUAAUAUAUUGAACCGCAUGGUUCAAUAAUGAAAGACGGUUUUGCUGUCACUUAUAGAUGGAUCCGCGCCGCAUUAGCUAGUUGGUAAGGUAACGGCUUACCAAGGCAACGAUGCGUAGCCGACCUGAGAGGGUGAUCGGCCACACUGGAACUGAGACACGGUCCAGACUCCUACGGGAGGCAGCAGUAGGGAAUCUUCCGCAAAGGGCGAAAGCCUGACGGAGCAACGCCGCGUGAGUGAUGAAGGUCUUCGGAUCGUAAAACUCUGUUAUUAGGGAAGAACAAAUGUGUAAGUAACUAUGCACGUCUUGACGGUACCUAAUCAGAAAGCCACGGCUAACUACGUG